AGAGUUUGAUCAUGGCUCAGAACGAACGCUGGCGGUAUGCUUAACACAUGCAAGUCGAACGUGAAAACCUCUUCGGGGGUGAGUAAAGUGGCGCACGGGUGAGUAAAACAUAGAUAACCUGCCUUUUAGCUUGGGAUAACUUCCUGAAAGGGGAGCUAAGACCAGAUAAAAUAAGGAAGCUAGUGCUACCUUAUUGAAAGAUUUAUCACUAAAAGAUGGGUCUGUGUGGCAUUAGUUUGUUGGUGGGGUAAUGGCCUACCAAGACUACGAUGCCUAGCGGGUCUGAGAGGAUGAUCCGCCACACUGGAACUGAGACACGGUCCAGACUCCUGCGGGAGGCAGCAGUGGGGAAUCUUGCGCAAUGGGCGCAAGCUUGACGCAGCAAUACCGCGUGAGUGAAGAAGGCCUUCGGGUCGUAAAGCUCUUUAUGUAAGCGAAGAUAAUGACAUUAGCUUACGAAUAAGCACCGGCUAACUCCGUGCCAGCAGCCGCGGUAAUACGGAGGGUGCGAGCGUUGUUCGGAAUUACUGGGCGUAAAGGGCAUGUAGGCGGUUUAAAAAGCCAAGGGUGAAAUCCCAGAGCUCAACUCUGGAACUGCUUUUGGAACUGUUAGACUAGAGAUAGUCAGAGGCAAGUGGAAUUCCUGGUGUAGAAGUGAAAUUCGUAGAUAUCAGGAGGAACACCAGCGGCGAAGGCGGCUUGCUGGGGCUAUUCUGACGCUGAGAUGCGAAAGCGUANGUAGCAAACAGGAUUAGAUACCCUGGUAGUCUACGCCCUAAACAAUGAGUGCCAGCUGUAUGUGGUUUCGACACCACAUGUGGUGCAGCUAACGCAAUGAGCACUCCGCCUGGGAAGUAUGGUCGCAAGGCUAAAACUCAAAGGAAUUGACGGGGACCCGCACAAGCGG
rnacentral:rRNA from 1 species